GCAUAUCAAUAAGCGGAGGAAAAGAAACCAACAGGGAUUGCCCUAGUUAACGGCGAAGUGAAGCGGCAACAGCUUCAAAUUUGAAAUCUGGCUUUCGGGCCCGAGUUGUAAUUUGUAGAGGAUACUUUUGAUGCGGUGCCUUCCGAGUUCCCUGGAACGGGACGCCAUAGAGGGUGAGAGCCCCGUCUGGUUGGAUGCCAAAUCUCUGUAAAGUUCCUUCGACGAGUCGAGUAGUUUGGGAAUGCUGCUCUAAAUGGGAGGUAUAUGUCUUCUAAAGCUAAAUAUUGGCCAGAGACCGAUAGCGCACAAGUAGAGUGAUCGAAAGAUGAAAAGCACUUUGAAAAGAGAGUUAAAAAGUACGUGAAAUUGUUGAAAGGGAAGCGUUUAUGACCAGACUUGGACUUGGUUAAUCAUCUGGGGUUCUCCCCAGUGCACUUUUCCAGUUCAGGCCAGCAUCAGUUUUCGCCGGGGGAUAAAGGCUUCGGGAAUGUAGCUCUCUUCGGGGAGUGUUAUAGCCCGUUGUGUAAUACCCUGGUGGAGACUGAGGUUCGCGCUUCUGCAAGGAUGCUGGCGUAAUGGUCAUCAACGACCCGUCUUGAAACACGGACCAAGGAGUCGUCUUCGUAUGCGAGUGUUCGGGUGUCAAACCCCUACGCGUAAUGAAAGUGAACGCAGGUGAGAGCUUCGGCGCAUCAUCGACCGAUCCUGAUGUUCUCGGAUGGAUUUGAGUAAGAGCAUACGGGGCCGGACCCGAAAGAAGGUGAACUAUGCCUGUAUAGGGUGAAGCCAGAGGAAACUCUGGUGGAGGCUCGCAGCGGUUUCUGACGUGCAAAUCGAUCGUCAAAUAAUGGGCAUGGGGGCGAAAGACUAAUCGAACCUUCUAGUAGCUGGUUUCCGCCGA
rnacentral:rRNA from 1 species